CGCGUAGGCGGUUGAUUAAGUCGGAUGUAAAAGCCCUGGGCUUAACCUGGGAACUGCAUUCGAUACUGUUCGACUAGAGUACGAGAGAGGGAGGUAGAAUUCCACGUGUAGCGGUGAAAUGCGUAGAUAUGUGGAGGAAUACCGGUGGCGAAGGCGGCCUCCUGGCUCGAUACUGACGCUGAGGUGCGAAAGCGUGGGGAGCAAACA
rnacentral:rRNA from 1 species